rnacentral:rRNA from 1 species
CGGGACACGUGGUAUCCUGUCUGAAUAUGGGGGGACCAUCCUCCAAGGCUAAAUACUCCUGACUGACCGAUAGUGAACCAGUACCGUGAGGGAAAGGCGAAAAGAACCCCGGCGAGGGGAGUGAAAAAGAACCUGAAACCGUGUACGUACAAGCAGUGGGAGCCUCUUAAUGGGGUGACUGCGUACCUUUUGUAUAAUGGGUCAGCGACUUAUAUUCUGUAGCAAGGUUAACCGAAUAGGGGAGCCGAAGGGAAACCGAGUCUUAACUGGGCGUUAAGUUGCAGGGUAUAGACCCGAAACCCGGUGAUCUAGCCAUGGGCAGGUUGAAGGUUGGGUAACACUAACUGGAGGACCGAACCGACUAAUGUUGAAAAAUUAGCGGAUGACUUGUGGCUGGGGGUGAAAGGCCAAUCAAACCGGGAGAUAGCUGGUUCUCCCCGAAAGCUAUUUAGGUAGCGCCUCGUGAAUUCAUCUCCGGGGGUAGAGCACUGUUUCGGCAAGGGGGUCAUCCCGACUUACCAACCCGAUGCAAACUGCGAAUACCGGAGAAUGUUAUCACGGGAGACACACGGCGGGUGCUAACGUCCGUCGUGAAGAGGGAAACAACCCAGACCGCCAGCUAAGGUCCCAAAGUCAUGGUUAAGUGGGAAACGAUGUGGGAAGGCCCAGACAGCCAGGAUGUUGGCUUAGAAGCAGCCAUCAUUUAAAGAAAGCGUAAUAGCUCACUGGUCGAGUCGGCCUGCGCGGAAGAUGUAACGGGGCUAAACCAUGCACCGAAGCUGCGGCAGCGACGCUUAUGCGUUGUUGGGUAGGGGAGCGUUCUGUAAGCCUGUGAAGGUGUGCUGUGAGGCAUGCUGGAGGUAUCAGAAGUGCGAAUGCUGACAUAAGUAACGAUAAAGCGGGUGAAAAGCCCGCUCGCCGGAAGACCAAGGGUUCCUGUCCAACGUUAAUCGGGGCAGGGUGAGUCGACCCCUAAGGCGAGGCCGAAAGGCGUAGUCGAUGGGAAACAGGUUAAUAUUCCUGUACUUGGUGUUACUGCGAAGGGGGGACGGAGAAGGCUAUGUUGGCCGGGCGACGGUUGUCCCGGUUUAAGCGUGUAGGCUGGUUUUCCAGGCAAAUCCGGAAAACCAAGGCUGAGGCGUGAUGACGAGGCACUACGGUGCUGAAGCGACAAAUGCCCUGCUUCCAGGAAAAGCCUCUAAGCAUCAGGUAACAUCAAAUCGUACCCCAAACCGACACAGGUGGUCAGGUAGAGAAUACCAAGGCGCUUGAGAGAACUCGGGUGAAGGAACUAGGCAAAAUGGUGCCGUAACUUCGGGAGAAGGCACGCUGAUAUGUAGGUGAAGCGACUUGCUCGUGGAGCUGAAAUCAGUCGAAGAUACCAGCUGGCUGCAACUGUUUAUUAAAAACACAGCACUGUGCAAACACGAAAGUGGACGUAUACGGUGUGACGCCUGCCCGGUGCCGGAAGGUUAAUUGAUGGGGUUAGCGGCAACGCGAAGCUCUUGAUCGAAGCCCCGGUAAACGGCGGCCGUAACUAUAACGGUCCUAAGGUAGCGAAAUUCCUUGUCGGGUAAGUUCCGACCUGCACGAAUGGCGUAAUGAUGGCCAGGCUGUCUCCACCCGAGACUCAGUGAAAUUGAACUCGCUGUGAAGAUGCAGUGUACCCGCGGCAAGACGGAAAGACCCCGUGAACCUUUACUAUAGCUUGACACUGAACAUUGAGCCUUGAUGUGUAGGAUAGGUGGGAGGCUUUGAAGUGUGGACGCCAGUCUGCAUGGAGCCGACCUUGAAAUACCACCCUUUAAUGUUUGAUGUUCUAACGUUGGCCCCUAAUCGGGGUUGCGGACAGUGUCUGGUGGGUAGUUUGACUGGGGCGGUCUCCUCCUAAAGAGUAACGGAGGAGCACGAAGGUUGGCUAAUCCUGGUCGGACAUCAGGAGGUUAGUGCAAUGGCAUAAGCCAGCUUGACUGCGAGCGUGACGGCGCGAGCAGGUGCGAAAGCAGGUCAUAGUGAUCCGGUGGUUCUGAAUGGAAGGGCCAUCGCUCAACGGAUAAAAGGUACUCCGGGGAUAACAGGCUGAUACCGCCCAAGAGUUCAUAUCGACGGCGGUGUUUGGCACCUCGAUGUCGGCUCAUCACAUCCUGGGGCUGAAGUAGGUCCCAAGGGUAUGGCUGUUCGCCAUUUAAAGUGGUACGCGAGCUGGGUUUAGAACGUCGUGAGACAGUUCGGUCCCUAUCUGCCGUGGGCGCUGGAGAACUGAGGGGGGCUGCUCCUAGUACGAGAGGACCGGAGUGGACGCAUCACUGGUGUUCGGGUUGUCAUGCCAAUGGCACUGCCCGGUAGCUAAAUGCGGAAGAGAUAAGUGCUGAAAGCAUCUAAGCACGAAACUUGCCCCGAGAUGAGUUCUCCCUGAGACUUAGAGUCUCCUGAAGGAACGUUG